UCACACAAAAAUUGGCAAAGCAAGGUUCCAGCUACAAUAAGCAUGGGAUAAGGAAGACUGCAAAUUUUAAAAAGGAGCAAAACUUUAUCAAAGUACAAAACCAAGUAAAUAUAUUUACCAUUGGUGGCUGAACAUUUGGAACGACUUUGGAAGAAAUAACUUUGCCUCUAUGGUGACCACCUCAUAUACUGAUGCAUGCACUUUCCUGAGUUCAACAAUCCAU
rnacentral:lncRNA from 1 species